UCCCUAGCUAGCCAUUUGAUAAAACCACAGUGCUUUGUCUUGACAAAACCUAGUAUAAUUAAAACCAACAUUUUUCUCUCUAAGUAGCAACAGGGAGCUAGUAGAGACAUGGGUCUCUUUGGAAUAAUUCCACAGGAAAUACUGCAUAUCCAUCUUCUUCAUGGCUUAAUUUAAGGCUCAGGACCUGGUAAUUCUGCAGCAAUAAGACCAUCUGUAGCCAGUUCCUGCUAUCAUGGACAGAAACAGUCCAGCUGCCAGGACUUCCUCGCUGAAGUGCAUGCUACCCUGGAAACUGAACCACUUGCUUUUGCAAGCUUCUAGAUUUUCCAUACGCUAAACCUGGAAUGAAGCUCUGCCUCCUGCACAGCACCAAUUUUAAACAUCUUCACGGCUCUGAGCUCUUAAGCAUUGGCUGUGGGCAGCACUAGUAAGCAAUGA